rnacentral:rRNA from 1 species
AUUGAACGCUGGCGGCAGGCCUAACACAUGCAAGUCGAACGAGUGGCGGACGGGUGAGUAAUGUCUGGGAAACUGCCUGAUGGAAGGGGAUAACUAUUGGAAACGGUAGCUAAAACCGCACACCAGAGGAUGUGCCCAGAUGGGAUUAGCUAGUAGGUGGGCAAAAGGCUCAUCUAGGCGAGGAUCCCUAGCUGGUCUGAGAGGAUGACCGGCCACACUGGAACUGAGACACGGUCCAGACUCCUACGGGAGGCAGCAGUGGGGAAUAUUGCACAAUGGGCGAAAGCCUGAUCCAGCCAUGCCGCGUGUGUGAAGAAGGCCUUCGGGUUGUAAAGUACUUUCAGCGGGGAGGCGUUACCCGCAGAAGAAGCAACGGCUAACUCCGUGCCAGCAGCCGCGGUAAUUC